AGGUGCCCUUCGGGGAAAGUUGAGACAGGUGGUGCAUGGUUGUCGUCAGCUCGUGUCGUGAGAUGUUGGGUUAAGUCCCGCAACGAGCGCAACCCUUGACUUUAGUUGCCAGCAGGUAAGGCUGGGCACUCUAGAGUGACUGCCGGUGACAAACCGGAGGAAGGUGGGGAUGACGUCAAAUCAUCAUGCCCCUUAUGACCUGGGCUACACACGUACUACAAUGGCCGGUACAACGGGAAGC
rnacentral:rRNA from 1 species